AUGUGCCACGCGUACGCUCCGGUGCUGAGCGCGCCGCACGCACCCGUCUGACGACUGCGCGCCAGGCGUUGUUUGCC
rnacentral:sRNA from 1 species